GUCUUCGUAACUUCCGGCGCCGCUAGAUAACCACCACCAUCAUCGCCUUCGCUUGAAUUAAAGGUCUCGGAACACCAAUCACAUCCGAAGUACAUCAUUCCUCCAUUUCAACCGCGAUUUUGAUUCUUAACACAAAACCCUAGGUUCUUUACGGACAGAAUCGAACAUUCACCGUCACAAAUUGAGCUCAAUUCCUUGGGGGUUCGAUUCACCAUAGCAUAAGCUUCGUGUUGGUGACAAGAACUAAGCAAAGCGGUGAAGUAAAGAAUGAGUUCGGCAGUUACCUAUCAGAGAUUAACAAAUGCAAUUUCGACAACGACGAAGAGAAAAAGAAAACCAGAUGCUCCGCCUUUCAGGGUAAACCAAGAAAUAACACACAAAGAUGAUGUAACUUUUUGGCUGAUACUUUGUCAAUAGGUUUCAUAGGAGAUGACAAGGAGACUUUUGAGACAUUUGAAUCUAUGGAGUUUGGACUACUCUUUUUCUAGAGGAACUGCUCAUUUACUUGCAAAGAUCUUGACUAUCAACAAACUCUAAGGGGUACAACUUGCUGUUAACAACCAUGCGUGGUGAUUUUACUGUGUUUCAUUUCCAGUCAAAUUAUCUGGCUUUGCUUUCAGUGCCAACGGGUGGGUUCAAUCCUAUGGAUCCCACUAUGUCAAACAAG